UAAGAAUCCAUCAAUGACUUAUUAUUUGUACUCAUCUAUAAUUUCAUAUUUUAUUGAAAACUGAAUAUAUAUUUUAUUCAAAACAUCUUUUUCAAUCAAUCUUUUUUUUAGGUUAUAUUCUAAUAUUCUACACAAAUAUAAAACUAUAUUUCGAAAACAAGGUCGAAUUGAUCAUCUGUUCGUUUAUUUCAUUGUUUAUAAAGUGUUGAAUUCAUUUUUCAGAAUGUUUUUCAUGUAUUUUAAAUUGCAUUUUGUAUAUACACGUUCACGAAACGUCUUUUCCCCUCGAUUCUAUUUUAACAAACUGGUUUUUUUGCUCUACGUACACGUGCUGUUUACACGUAGUGUUAUGCGUAGUACGGAAAGCUCAUUAAUGGGGCUAUACAUCGAAAAGCACUGGUCCGGUAGACACGGUUCAUAAGGAACCGGUCCUGUUUACUCACAGAGCAAAUAAAAAUUGGCUGUGGCACGUGUUGUUCGUGUGCGAUAUCGAGAUUCGUUUGUCAUGUAAAUAUUUUAACAAAAACCUUGAUAUUCUGAAUCUGUGAAAUAUUUCACGCGAAAUAAGUGAUUUACCAACUUGAAUUGUGAUGAAUUAUCUUUACACUUAUUUACACGCAUGCGCCUAUAUGUAUAUGCGCAGAAAUUAUUAUACUGCGUUUAAAAUUAUGCUCUUGUCGUUUAUUUGUUGUUCCAGUACUUUUUUACGUUCUGUUAAUUUAUUUUUCAAUUUAUGUAUUCUUUUUAUAUUGAAUUAUGUCAUCGAUACAUAGUUUUUGUUAUUUAACUAUCAUAUCAUGAUUUGUAUUAUAAUAUUUUGAGGUUAACUUUUGAAGAAAGAAUUUUUUUUAUUUUAUUCUAACAUUAAUAUAUCUACUGAAUUUAAUUUCGCUUUAGUUUCAAGUAAGCUUCAUUAAAUAGUAUGUAUGAUAUAUAAGAGGUUAAAAAAAUUCAAUGUUUUUGAUUGGUUAGUAAAUAUCGACUUUAUGACACGAAAGCGAUUGCACGGCAAUGCAAAUUCCGUGAGUUAGGUCCUGUGAAAUUCAUGAUACGUUAAGCAUACAUUGCCGGGUUACAUUCAACUGAUUGCAUCAGAACCAUAUUCUCGUAUCACAAUUGCCAGCUCAAUUCGUUACCACUACAGACUGUGCACAACGGACAGGUGCAUAAGCAACUGGUAUUCACGAUCGUUUUCGGACGCGAUAAUAUCCGAUAUGACGCGACCGAUAUUUCUGUAAUAACAGACUCGUACGAUGAACUAGGAAGAUCGUGAUAAAUCGCAACUCUGCCAAAAGCAAUCAUGUGUUUUUUUUGUAUUAUUACUAAUAAAACAGAAUUUAUUGAGAAUAUUAUGAUUAUCCUUUCUUCUAUGAGAAACUGAUUCAACGUGAACGCAUAAUUUAUAAUGCUGCGUUCACAUUGAUCAAAAACAAUGCAUUCAUAAACAAAAGCAAUAUUCAGACAGGUUUUGAAUUGAUGAAUAAGUCUUUAUGAAUAUUAUGAAUUGAUGAAUAAAAAAAAAAUAUAUAUAUAUAUAUAAUAGAUAUAAAAUCAUAAUCGUCAAAUAUUUUGUUUUAUUUCGUAUGUAUAUUUUUGCUGUUCAACUUUUUCUCUUCAUUUCAAGAAAAAAAUAUUAAACGUAAAUAAGAUAUUCCCUUUCAUUAAUUUAUUAUCACGAUAAAUUAUUAAAUCUUUAUACAAUAUCAAACGAAAUGUAACAAUACAACACUGGUUCGCAAGAACAAACAAGGGCUAUCUCCGUUAUGUUAUUAAUUACUUAAGGCCAAAGCGAACGAUAAUAAGAGGAAGAGUCAGGUCAGAGGAAGAUUCGCGGCGUGGUUCCAUGGAAAACGGUAACCGUAACGGCUGCAGAGAAAGAAGCGAGUGAAUAAGACUCAUGAUGGGAACAGAGACGCAUAGAAAGGCGGAUGAACUGGCAGACAAAGAUUUUAUGCUUGACGUCAGCGCUCCGUAAGUGCAACGGCAUUCGCGUAUACUUCUCGAAUAUUUAUUCGAUUGUUGGAAUUUCUUUCUUAGAACGCGAAAAAUACGUUCGACCGAAAAAACUCUGAAAUUCAGUCUUGUAACAUCUACAACGAAUUUCGAAGGAUUGCAGAAGAUAGAAUUAAUCUCGUUGUCUUUCUCAAUUUCACCCGUUCGUAUUUCUUUGCAACUAGGUUAGCCAAGAUUGAUAGGGAGGCGACAUAUAAACACGCUUGUAUCUCAAAGUUAUAAGUUUAAAACGGGUCUGUAGAGGGCGCGGAUCAGUCGUUAUGGCUUGGCAAGCAAUUUACGAGAGGUUUUUGCUUGAAACCGUUUCACGUUCGCGGAGCAAAACCAUUCGAAUUUCGCGCAGUGUAUUCCAUUACAUGCCCGCAUAGAACGGCCGCAAGAUAACCUAAAUUUGUUCUUUCGCGAUCUUCCAUUUUCGUGGUAUUUACGAGAUACAUCGAAUUAUACUGGUAACGUAUUUUUAUCUCAUACUCCCGCGUCCGAAGAAUUUUAAAUUUAAUAUCUACGAAGUUUCAUGCACAGUUCGUUUAAAAAUUAUGGAGUCAAAGAAAAAUAAUGAAUUGCCAUUUUUAGACUUUCAAACUUGACACAUCAUUCAUUAUAACUAUUAUUGAUAAUCAGUAUUGAACCUUUUUUAUAUAAUAACAAAUUUUUUUUAAAUAUUUUUUAUUUUUAUUUCUAAUUUUCUUUUUUAAAAAUUAAGUUGAUUAAUUUAAUUUUUGUAUUUUUAUAUAAAAGUUUGUGGAUAAGGUUUCUGUAAUUAUAUUUUACUUCAAACAUCAUUUCAAAUGUAAAUAAUUUGUCAUAUAACUUGUUAUAAGUCAUAAAAAAUAAAUAUAUCGAUCAUGCGAACUUUCACACACGUGAUACAACAAUAUGAAACAAAAUCAUUAGCAAACGUGAUACUGAUUUUGAUAUGCGUAAGUAGACUUAAAAUGAUUCUGAUUAAUAACGUUUUCAUUACCACAAUUCCACAGAAGUUUUUUUACGCUUUCAUAAAAGUGCACCUGACCACACUCAGAGAGAAAGUAUACGGACUACUUGUGCGGUUCUUGCGAAAUUUCAAUUCUCAUUUAGAUGGUCCUAUUACCGUAGUUACUUAGAGAUGCAGACUAUAGAGAUUAUUUUACAUUUAUAUAAAAGUUAAAAAAUAUUUGUACAUAAAAAAAGGAAAUCUGUAAUCUCGUUAAUAUUAUUUUCAUUUUAUUUGAUUUGAAUUUUUUUAUAAUCAUAAAAAAAAUUAAUAUAUUUAAAAGUAAGUAAGUAUACUUCGAUGAUGAACAUUUUAAUAUAUUAUAUUCCAUCUUCUUGUAUAAAUUAUGUUUACCUUUAGACUUUCUAUUGGAAUAGCCCAUUUCUCGUCGAGAAUCAACAAAUAUUAUCCGCAUGGAAAUUCAAUCUUUGUUUUACAAAUACAGCAACGAGUUUUAACAUGAUAUAAUCGAGAAAAUCGUUGGCCAACGUGAAGUGCAAAUACAUCACUAAAUGGUAGACAUUCUGUGUCUAGGGAUUAAUGUUUGUCAUGAACAUAAAAUACAGUAGUAAAGCAUUGAUUCAGAUGUUAAGAGAAUAACAUUCCAUUCUUCUUUUCCUUCUAUUACCCAAUAAAAUCAUAAAGUUAAUAUAGCUGGCAGUAAUUGGGAUUAUAGAGAAAAUGGGGCAAGAAUAAAAGGAUUAGAAGCAGAUCGGAGCUGGGUGAAGGUAAUACCAAUAAAGGCUGUACUUCUAACGCUUCUAACGUGACACAUGAUACAUAUGUACACGGUAUCAUGGAUUCCACAUAGGUCAUCGGUAUUAUAUAAUAAUUAAUUCUGAAAAAUAUGCAUCAAAAUAUUAUUAUAUUCUUCUGAUGUAUUUUUGAUUUUGUUUUUUUUUCUUUUAUUAUCAAUAAAAAGAAUUUUAUUUUGUUGUAUUUGAAAAUUUUCAUCAAUACUGCUUAUAUAAGUAUGUUUAAAUAUGUUCAUUAUUAAAAAUAUUAUUAAAAAUAAUAAUAAAGUAUCAAAUUUAUGUUACAAU